GACCACUCCGAUUGGCUAAUGGUUAGGGCGUCCGCUUCUGAUGCGGGAGGUCGCGGGUUAGAACCCCGGCCGAGUCA